GAUGAACGCUGGCGGCGUGCCUAAUACAUGCAAGUCGAGCGAACGGACGAGAAGCUUGCUUCUCUGAUGUUAGCGGCGGACGGGUGAGUAACACGUGGAUAACCUACCUAUAAGACUGGGAUAACUUCGGGAAACCGGAGCUAAUACCGGAUGAUAUUUUGAACCGCAUGGUUCGAAAGUGAAAGACGGCCUUGCUGUCACUUAUAGAUGGAUCCGCGCUGCAUUAGCUAGUUGGUAAGGUAACGGCUUACCAAGGCAACGAUGCAUAGCCGACCUGAGAGGGUGAUCGGCCACACUGGAACUGAGACACGGUCCAGACUCCUACGGGAGGCAGCAGUAGGGAAUCUUCCGCAAUGGGCGAAAGCCUGACGGAGCAACGCCGCGUGAGUGAUGAAGGUCUUCGGAUCGUAAAACUCUGUUAUUAGGGAAGAACAUAUGUGUAAGUAACUGUGCACAUCUUGACGGUACCUAAUCAGAAAGCCACGGCUAACUACGUG
rnacentral:rRNA from 1 species